UUUAUAUUGAGUUUGAUGAUGGCUCUGAUUGAACGCUAUCCAAGUGCUUGACACAUGCUAAUCGUACGUCUAAUUACAUUAGAAAUAAUUUAGUUAGAAGUGGUGUACAGGUGAGUAAAUGAUAUUAUGGCUACCUUGGAGUAAGGGACAUUAAAAUCCCUUAUAUUAUAAAAAAAUUUUUAUAUUAAAAGAAAUUUAUUUUCGCUCCUAGAUGGAAAUUAAUAUCUCGGACAGGUAGUAGUUAAGGUAAUGGCUAAACUAGCUUAUGUCCGUAGUCGAGACUGAGAGGUCGAUCGACCACAUUGGGUCUGAAAAAACCCCAAUACGUAUAGUACAGCAGUGAGGAAUAUUGGUCAAUGGCCUAACGGCUGAACCAGCAACUUGGGGGAAUGUAUAUAUAUUAGAGAUAAUAUAUAGUACCGACUCUGUCGGAUAAAGUUCUAGAUAGAAUAAUGAUAAUGACAAUUUUCUAUCUAUAUGUCUUGACCAAAUCUUGUGCCAGCAGUCGCGGCAACACAAGGGAGACUAGUGUUAUUCAUCUUUAUUAGGUUUAAAGGGUACCUAGACGGUAUAUCAAGCCCCAAAAGGGAACUGAUAUACUAGAGUUUUAUGUGAGAGGCAAAUAUAGUACUAUUGGUGUAGAGAUAAAAUUCAUUGAUACCUCUAGGCACGGGUAACGGCGAAGGCAAUCCUCUAUGUAAAAACUGACGUUGAGGGACGAAGGCUUGGGGAGCGAAUAGGAUUAGAUACCCUAGUAGUCCAGGCAGACAAUUAUGAAUGUCAUAGAUUAGAAAUAUUUUUUUGAUCUAUAAAUGAAAGUGUAAGCAUUCCACCUCAAGAGUAAUGUGGCAACGCAGGAACUGAAAUCAUUAGACCGUUUCUGAAACCAGUAGUGAAGUAUGUUAUUUAAUUCGAUGAUCCUCGAAAAACCUUACCACAGUUUGAAUGUUAAUUAAUAAAUUAACACAGGCGUUGCAUGGCUGUCUUCAGUUAAUGUCGUGAGAUUUGGUUAGAUCCAAAAAAUUAUCGUAAACCCUUGUUCUUUAUUUGUUUGAAUAAUGCAGUUAACCGCUAUAUUGGAUUAUAUAACAGGGACUAAGACAAGUCAUCAUGGCCUUAACAUUGUGGGCUAUAGACGUGCCACAUAUGCCUUCACAAAGGGAUGCAAAAGUGUGAACUUGAGCUAAUCCCUAAAACAGGAUAGAAUAUUAAUUGUAGUCUGAAACUCGACUACAUGAAAAAGGAAUUACUAGUAAUCGUGUGUAAUCACAGCACGGUGAAUUUAAUCUCAGCUAGGUACUAACCACUCGUCAGGCGCUGAAAGGGGUAUGUGCAAUAAGUUUGGUUAUUGUUAAUUUUUAAUAUAGGUGAUUAGGCUUAUAUUUAUUAACAAAUAAUCUUCGUAUGCGUGACCCUGAUUGGUGUUAAGUCGAAAUACGGUUCAGGUAGGGGAACUUGCCUGGGAAUAAUUAAACAU
rnacentral:rRNA from 1 species